UAUUAUUCCGUCCAUAACUAAAACUGCACCCGUUUAAAUCGAUAGCUUGUGUGGUAUUCAAAUGGACUACAUAAAACUUAUGGUUAACUAUUCCUCUUAAGGAUAUCGUCUAAAAGAUAAGCUCCUUAAUAAAGUUCUAUACCAACAUUAUUCAACA